rnacentral:rRNA from 1 species
UACGAAGGGGGCUAGCGUUGUUCGGAUUUACUGGGCGUAAAGCGCGCGUAGGCGGAUCUUUAAGUCAGGGGUGAAAUGCCAGGGCUCAACCUUGGAACCGCCUUUGAUACUGGAGAUCUUGAGUUCGGGAGAGGUGAGUGGAACUGCGAGUGUAGAGGUGAAAUUCGUAGAUAUUCGCAAGAACACCAGUGGCGAAGGCGGCUCACUGGCCCGAUACUGACGCUGAGGCGCGAAAGCGUGGGGAG